GUCCCCUUUGUCUCGCCGCCACCCACGCUCCGGGGUGGAGGGACCUGCGUGGUUGCGGGAGGAGGGAGAGAGCCUUCGAUUUCCCCGCUAUCGUCCUCCCUAGCCAGGGUGCCUGCUCACCUAGUCUGUGCAAGCCGGGUUCUCCUCCACCCUCCAGCAAAUCAUUUCACCUUUCAGAGUCUCAAUUUCUCCAUCUGUAAGAUGGGACUAACAUGAAUCACCUUACACCCUUCAAGGUAUACAUCGUUGGCCCCAUGAUAUGUGAAGACACCAAGCUUUGGGCCAAUAUCCUAAGCUUAACAGGUCCAUCACCAACUCAAUGGACACGAGUUUGAGCAAACUCUGGAAGAUAGUGAAGGACAGGGAAGCCUGGCAUGGUGUAGUUCAUGGGGUCGCAAACAGUCAGACACGACUGAGCAACUGAACAAUGACAAGCGCAGACCAUAGAAUUUCUACUGAGAAGACUUGACCUAUAGGACCUUUGUUUUCCAAAGCCUUAGUUUGCUCAUCUGAAAUGAUGGGUCCGGGCCUCCGGUGUGGUAGGGUGUUGAGAGGCAUGCAUGCAGUCGUG
ensembl:lncRNA